AAUAUGUUAUCAUAGACAUACUAUCUGUCAGCGUCACACCUGUACUGCGCAGGCAACUUCUUUAAUUUUAGUUUCAUUUUUGAAAAAUCGUGAUAAAAAUUAGUACUAUAAAAUAGUAUUGUUUAACACUAUUCAAACUUAAAGUUUAUGAAAUAAAAUUGAUGAGUAAUAAAUAGUGAGUCUUUGUCCUGGUAAGCACAUUUCAUGGAGCAAUGGAUUAUUUCGCGAUGCUUUUAAUGGAUAUAAAAACAUUAUCGUGGUGGAAAAUUCAAUGUUAAUAGAGACUUACUAUAGCAAACUGAACAUUCGCUGUAUAAACUGUUAGUUAUGAAUGAAUGUGUGAAAUAAGCGUUGUGAUCAACUAUAUUGAUUACGACUCUGUGGCUGUUUAGUUUCAUUACCGGGUAUCAAAAUCGUGGAAGUAAAUCAUCUAUAUACAUAAGUAUACUCAUGAAUAGUUAUUCACAUUCCAUUAAGUGAGAAUAAUUAAAAUGUUUAAAUUCCAGAAAAUCGGGUGAAGACACAUUUUAUUUGUUUCCUUUAAUUUCGCUAAGUCUUUUUACAAAUCAAUUAUAAUAUAAACCCAUAAAUGAAAUUGUCCUCACCAGAAGCAAGCAAUUGAUUUCCAUAAAUCUAAUUCGGAUACAAAGUUAAUUAAUUCAAAUGUGACAAAGCAAAUGGAAACUUGCAAGGACGAAGCAGAAGAUGCGCAUAAAUUAUGAAGAAAAUUACUUACAUUAGAAAGAGGAUGAAAUUCACUGGAAUGGGGUCACUUGUGUACUGGUGAGUUAUGAUAGCAAGUUAUGAUAGCAAAGAAAAGCUGCUUAAGGUGAAUUAUUUUAACAAGGUAAUAAUAUAAAUGCUUACACAUCGCGAUGUGAUAUAAGUACGUAUUUAUGUGUAUACAAAAUAUAUAUUAUACUGGGGAUGUACGGAUGACUGUAUAGUUGAUUUAUUGGAUUGACCUAUGAACGCUAUUUUUAUUACAGACAUUAAUUUAUAAAUGAACUUAAAGAUAUAGAAGUAUGCAUACAAAUAUUUUGGUAUAUAACAUACUCAUGUACAUACAU